rnacentral:rRNA from 1 species
CUACGGAAGGCAGCAGUAAGGAAUAUUGGUCAAUGGGCGCAAGCCUGAACCAGCCAUGCCGCGUGAAGGAUGACGGCCCUAUGGGUUGUAAACUUCUUUUGUACGGGAAAAAACCUCUGGUCGUGAAUCAGAGCUGAUGGUACCGUAAGAAUAAGCAUCGGCUAACUCCGUGCCAGCAGCCGCGGUAAUACGGAGGAUGCAAGCGUUAUCCGGAUUCAUUGGGUUUAAAGGGUGCGCAGGCGGAAUAAUAAGUCAGCGGUGAAAGCCUACAGCUUAACUGUAGAACUGCCAUUGAUACUGUUAUUCUUGAGUGUUGUUGAGGUAGGCGGAAUGUGUCAUGUAGCGGUGAAAUGCUUAGAUAUGACACAGAACACCGAUCGCGAAGGCAGCUUACCAAGCAACAACUGACGCUCAUGCACGAAAGCGUGGGGAUCAAACAGGAUUAGAUACCCCGGU